rnacentral:lncRNA from 1 species
UUUGCAAGUUCCUCAGACUCAUUAGGAGAAUAUUAAAAAGCUGUGAACCCUUGAAACCCAGGCUGUUGCAGUAACUGGUCCUGAAGUGUGAUGGCAUUGCUGGGAUCCUUGGCACUAUGCAGUGUAUACAUAUACACAGACAUACAGACUCACGCACACACACGUGGGUGCUGAAAAUUUCCUGGCUUUGGGUUGAAGAAAAUACAGGAAAAUCAGUUAAUUAUGAUUUUAUUGAACAUAUUUCCAUCUCAGAUUCACACACUUAUUGCAGCGGUCCUUCAGUUUCCUAAGCCAUGUAAAGGAACUCGGAAGAUUUCAUCUCCAGCCAGGCUUUUAGCGACACCCUUAAAGCCAGGAACUUUUCAGCAGCCCACCAUGCAUAUAUAUAUAUAUAUAUAUAUAUAUAUAUAUAUAUUCUCUCUUUUACUCUCUUUUACUUGUUUCAGUCAUUUGACUGCGGCCAUGCCGGAGCACCGCCCUUUAGUCGAGCAACUCGACCCCGGGACUUAUUCUUUUGCAAGCCCAGUACUUAUUCUAUCGGUCUCUCUUGCCGAAACGCUAAGUGACGGGGACGUAAACACACCAGCAUCGGUUGUCAAGCAAUGCUAGGGAGACAAUAUAUAAGACAGGCUUCUUUCAGUUUCCGUCUACCAAAUCCACUCACAAGGCAUUGGUCGGCCCGGGGCUAUAGCAGAAGACACUAGCCCAAGGUGCCACGCAGUGGACUGAACCCGGAACCAUGUGGUUGGUUAGCAAGCUACUUACCACACAGCCAUUCCUGCGCUAUAUAUAUAUAUAUAUAUAUAUAUAUAUAUAUAUAUAUAUAUAUAUAUAUAUACAAAUUAGUAAAUAAAUGGCACAACAAAGUACCAUAUAUAUAUAUAUAUAUAUAUAUAUAUAUAUAUAUAUAUAUAUAUAUAUAUAUAUAUAUAUUUGUCUCGUUAUUGAACUGUGUGUAUGCCGGACCACCGUCUUGUAGGGUUAAUCGAACAAAUCAGCCCCAGCACUUAUGUAAAUCCUGUUGUCAGCUACUUUUAUCGAACCACUAAGUUUCAGUGUUGUAAACAGACCAACGCAGCUAUCAUGCUGUGGGGCUACAAAUGCGCACACACUAUUACAUACACACAAGGGCUUCUCACAGUUUCUGUCUUUCAUAUUCAUUCACAAGUCAUUUCUCGACCCGAGGCUAAAGUGCAUAAACCUCUAAUUGCAUAAAAUUAUUAUAAAUUUCAUUUUCCUCACAAUAUAUAUUUCUUUACUACCCACAAGGGGCUAAACACAGAGGGGACAAACAAGGACAGACCAACGGAUUAAGUCGAUAUUGACCCCAGUGCGUAACUGGUACUUAAUUUAUCGACCCCGAAAGGAUGAAAGGCAAAGUCGACCUCGGCGGAAUUUGAACUCAGAACGUAACGGCAGACGAAAAUACGGCUACGCAUUUCGCCCGGCGUGCUAACGUUUCUGCCAACUCACCGCCUUUUCCCACAAUAUAUACCCAGUAGCACUGACCUAAUUGGUAGUCUUUGUAUGGCAUUAGAUAUUACAGCUAAACGUCAAUCAAAUCGAACUUUCAACAGGGUAGAGAAGACCACCGGCCACGUUGAUUGAUAUGUUGCUAGAAUUUUUCUAAGAUGAAAAUAUAGCAUACCUUAUCUAUAAGACAUACCCUAAAUAUAAGGCAUAUAGUUUCAUGACUGCUCAACCCGGAACCAUGUGGUUGGUUAGCAAGCUACUUGCCACAAAGCCACUCCUGCGCCUAUAAUACAUAUUCAGGAUUCGGUGAAACAAAAUUUGUACCGAUACACAUACUCAGUGGUUCUCAGCCAUUUUCCCCCUAUAGGCCCCCUUCAUUUUAAGAGACGCUCAUAACCAUUUGAUGUUUACCAAACAUUCUAUUAUAAGUAAAUAUUAUUGGGAAUUGUAUUAGAUUUGUUAAAAUAUUUUAAACUAGCAGUAUCGCCCGGCGUUGCUCGGGUUUGUAAGGGAAAUAACUAUAUAAGCAUUUUUAAAGUUAUAGCCAAAAAAUAGCAAAAAAAUGCAUUAAAAAUGGAAAAAAAAAUGAUGGUAAUUUUUUUUUAAAAAUCGUUGACUCAUCGUAGACAUUUUUAGAGAGUUACUUCCUUAUAUAAUAGCGAAAAAAUGCAUUAAAAUGGAAAAAAAUUAUGGUAAAUUAUUUUUUAAAUCGUAGACUCAUCGUAGACGCGCGCUAGUACCCAGAAGGGCUCGAUAUGAAUCACGACUAUAAGAUACCCGGUUUUGGGUAUCCAAAACCGGGUAUUUUGCACCGCAAAAUGUGGGAGUAGUUAGGAAUCUAAAUCGUAGGAGACAGACACACAACUUCACUUUUAUAUAUAAAGAUAAGGCAAUCUAUUGCAUAUAAAUUUUUAAGUCAUCAUUUUAUAUGACCCCUUCCCCCCAAGUGCCAUGUGGAUCCCACAAAAAUAACAUGAAUACUAAAUCAGUGUAAAGAACUUAAUAAAAUCGAUUUAUAUCUAAUCUU